GUGGGGAGAAGGGCAUGUAAAGGAGAGCUCAUUGGAAAAGAUAUUCUGGUUAUUUAUUUAUAGUUUACAUACGCAAAGAGACCUUUAAAAAGGCUUUGAUAAGGGUGGCCAGUUUCUUCAGAGUUUAGCUGACCUUUAAAGGAGGUUUCAGUUUGCUAUUGUACAGGUGUUUGGGGGCCAAGGGCUGGAGACUUGGAAUUCUGCUUGUGCAGAGAGCGCGUUCCUCUGGAGAAACCCAAGCACCUAUCUUUCCCCAGGCAACCUGCGACGGACCGCUCAGUUCUUUGCCUGCCCUAGGUCUCUCCCAGCCAGGAGGCUGCAAUCAGCCUGGAGCUCGAGCUCGGCAGGUGGGAGGAUGCGAAUACCUGAGAAGAGUACCUGUGGCCUGGCAGAAACAGAGCUGGGAGGAGUGACAAACAGCUCCUGGCAGUGGUGGGUCAGAGAAGACGUAGAGGAGAUGGUCAUUCCAAUGUGACAGGCGGCCUGACCUGGGGAAGAGGGACUUUGAUGGCUGGAGAUGGCUGGAGCACACAUCCCGGCAGGUGAAUUCCAGAGAGGCAAAUGCCCUGGGGCGGGCACACCGUACUUUUGAAACAGCUCACACUGCAGGACACUGGACAUGGGCUCCUCCCCCACCCAGCUCAGGUGUCCCCCUCCUACAGAGUCCUGUCCAGCUACUCCCUCCCCCCACCGUCCCCCAGGAACACAAGCCAACCCUCCAGCAAUCUGGGAAGAGAGGCUGAGACUCGAAACAGUGCACCCUGGGUCGAGUCCCCAGUUAUGCGUGGAUGGUCAGGGGAAGUUGUCUAACUUCAUUUCUAACUCGGUUUUCAGGGAACACGCACUCUCAAAAUGACCAAAAGUCAUUUUUCCUUUCCUUCCUAAGAGCCUGAUUCCCUGAUCACCCAGUUCUGCUUUUAAACAAAAUCAAAAACAAAGCAAAGCCAAUCUCAAAAAGAAAGGUUGAAUUUCAGGGUGUAAGGUGAUCGCCUUACAAAGUCUUUGAGCAGCUGCUUUUGGUAACCAGUAGAAAGAAUUACAUGCACCUCAUCAUCUCAAACUGAGAUGCAAAAGAAUUAGCUACUGGGUUUGGCUCUGAAACACUAUUGUUCUCGAUGCAAAAUUAGCCAGAAAUUAUUCUUUCAAUAUUAAUUUAGAGGCUCUUCUUGCAUGCCUGUAAAAAUGACACUGAAGCAGUAGAAAAAUGACUUCCUCCUGUGUUUUACUUGGAGGAGCGAGUGUGACGAAGAGGAAGAAUAUGAACUUGGCCUGCAAGUGAGCCAUGCUUUGGAAUUCGGGUGGGUCCAAGAAAAAGCACAGACUUCAGUGGAAAACACACAUGGGUGUGUGGCGAAUCCCUGUAAACUGUAAACUGUCUACAGGCUGCUUGAGCUGGCGUGGAGAGAAACCACAAAGCUCCCUGAAAUCAGAAGAGAGGGGCCAGAGAGCAAGCUUUACUCUCUGAGAGUCUCCCAGGUAUCCUGGGGCAGGGAUGCUGUGAUUAUUGGCUGUGGUUGCAGCCGGCUGACCUUGCCAUGGCAAAGCCCCUCCCAUUGCUGCCUGGGCCUCCUUAGGAUAGACAGCUCCGGGUCUGGGUGCUCCCCAGCCAGACCUGCAAACCCCCUUGUCUUCUGCCACCUGUUGCUCCCAGGGCCUUUGUCGAGUGGCUGCUGGAUUCUUCAUUGCGGUUCCCCUUCUUGGGCAGCUGGUCUCUCCUUUUCCUAUCAGCAUCUCUUAUCUAUCCUUCUGGCCCGUGGAGGCUCAGCUUUCCCAGCCCUUGCAGCUGACCUCUUCUGCAUUUCCUGUUUUGCAUCUUCUCCAUGUGGACGAGACCUAGACUAUGUGUGCCCGGUAUGUGUGCCCGGUGAAGCACCAGUCCCGUGCUGCGCUCUGACCUGAGCCUGUGUCUGAGGAAGGUGCCUCCUACUGCCCCAGUGACCCAGAAGACACCACACUGGAAGCGAGGGCUCCAUCCGCCCACCUUUGCAGAGUUCCACAUUGCCCCGGAGCUUGAACUUUCAGCUUACUGUGGUCCCAUCCAAGGCAAGGAAGCCUUACCAGCUCCCUUUCUCCAAGUGAGGCAACAGAGUCUGGGAGAUAAAGUCGCUUGUUCAAAGUCAGCAACCCAGUCACCUUUCAGACUGCCCCACCUCACCUUCAGGGGUGGCUCCAUGGGGUGGCUUUAGACAAUGUCCCCUGCACAAGCUUAAAGUCAGAAUGGGUUGAACCCAAGUCUGUCUGUCUCCAAAAAAUAAUCCUGUGUCUAUAGCAUUUUGCCUCCCUAUCACCAAAAUGCCCAACAUAGUGGAGCAUGAAUUAUAGCAGAUGAAUCUGGAAUCAUCCCAUUUCAUCAAAAUUAAUAGAAAAGGACAAAAAUCUGAAAGUCUGAUGAAAGUCGUAUUUUUAUGACAAGACCAACACAAAACUAUUUCCCAUUCUUUGCUCCUUAAUAAUGGGAUAUAAAGUUUACAAGAGUACCUGUAUUUAAGGCUGCUCAUAGAUAUUUUGUCACCCAGAUCCAACAUAAUUCCAUCCACAUUACAUGCAUUGUAAGCAAUUUCUUACAUACCAAAUAGGUUGCUAGCUGGAUUUCUCUGAGGCUUUCUAGGAGGCAGUGCCAUUCUUAGUUGGUGCAUUUGGAUCUGUCUGGACAUCAGGAACACCAGAAGAAAGUGAUCUCAGGCAAAUGGACCUUUCCAAGCCCUCAUGUAACAAAAGUAGAUUGAGAAUCUUCCAAGAAAAAAAUUGUUAAUCUGCUUAAUUAAGCCCAAAUUUCUAGUUCAGAUGAUCUCUGUGCUUUACUUUAAAUUUCACUUCUUGGAAAUCGGAUGAUUAAAAGGGUUUCAUAGAAAUAAGCCCAAUUCUCAUUCUCAAUACAGAAGCAACUGGAGUUGAGAGAGGUCAUAGGACUGGGUCAGGACUUUGCAGCUUGUAUAGGAGCUCACUCUUCAGGCAUUGCUUGGGACCUCUUACCAGGCUUGAUCUGCUCAUGCCUCAAGGAAUCUGAAGCAAAAAGAUGAACCCUACCCUGGGGGAAGCAAAAUUAUUAAACUGGCCUAUAGUUUGGAAGCAGAGAUGAAAGAAAUGAACCAAAAAGCCAUAUAUUAAACAUCUGCAAAAUUCAACAAGAUCCAUAAAAAUAGGACAGGUAUAUGUGCCAAUUUAAGUAAAUGAAAAUAGUUUCAAAACCAGAAUGAUUCCCAGUUUCUCAAAAUGGCUGAAAUGUGUCCCUGUUCCUUCUUUGAACUCUCCCAGGGCUACGGUGGCCUGCAAGGUAAAUCUUUCUCGGCUGAGCCGCGGGCACUCUGGUGUUUUAACCUACCUCUCCAACUGCCUGCCAACCAGGUCAUGGCCACACCAUGCAGAUUAUCCCUGCCCUGUACCGGAGGUUACUGUGGGGAUGAGCAAAACACCUGUGGAGCUGUACUUGGAGCGCACAUGAAAACCAUACGAGUUCCAUGCAACAUCAUGGAAGUCACCAGUGUGCUCCCAUUAACCUGUAGUGAGUGUCCAUCACAAGGGGCUGGCUUCAAGCAGAGUGGAAAACACCAGCGACCCACACUCACAAGGAGCACAGAACAGAAAGCACAGGGACCAGAGGCGUCUUUCAGAACUACUAAAGGAUGAAAUCACCGUUCUGAAAUUCUGGAACACUUGGAUAGACAGACAAUUUCGAACAUCUCAUGGGACCUCUGAUGGAUAAGGGGUAUUGUCCAAUAGCUUUAAAACAGUCCGGAUCUAUACACCCUGUGCCCUAGCCCCAGGGUCCUACAGGCUCUGUCCUUGCAAGCACUUGGGGGUCUCCAUGGUGGGGACAGGGAUUUCCCCCCAAAAGCGAAUGCCCCACCUUGCCUCCCAGGGUGAUUAGGGUAUGCUCUGCCCACUAGCCUAGCAUCACAAAGGCCCCACCCUGCAGGGGUCCCCCGCAGAACCCCUCCCCACCUGCCUUCCCCAGUUACCCGUGACCUUCCACUGAGCCUGUCACCACCACCUCCCCCUUAGACUCAGGGAGGUGACUCAGGGAAUGAACCCAGUGAGUCUGGAGCUGGCUAAUCAGCAUGGUGCAAGAGGAGAGGGGAAACUCCUAACCCUCAAAGGAGGUGUCCAACAGGGUACCCACCAUGAUCUCAGAAAUGGUUUUCCCACAUUUCACUUUUUUUUCUUCUAUUUCUAAUGGCAUAGAUUUUUACUGAUUUCAAGAAAACUUCCACUUUUAAAACUCAUAGUGUUUAAAAAUGAUUGAGCCCUACUUUGCCAUGUCCCAAAUAAAAGUACAAUAGUAGCAUCAUCCGUAAAGCAGCUGCUUUGCUCUUGCACCCUACCCUGUGAAGAGGAAACCUAAUUUUCUGCAUGCAAUUUAUCUGCACAGCUUACCUGUUUCAAUUGCCAUCUAUCACCAUGCAAAGUUUCAGGUAUAGAGCUAACUGAGAGUUAUACCGAAAACUUAUUUCAAGAGAAAAGCACCAGCCCUGCUUUUUAAAAAGCUGUUAACUACUCAUGUCCAAUAAAAUUUACAAAUAAAUUAUCUUCAGUUGGUAUUGGGUUUUGAACCUUCAAGACCCUGACUUAAUGAGAUGUGUAGCCAAGGGAGCUGUUGGAAAAGGUUUGUUUCUUUCAAUAUUCUCUAUAAUCUCAUUACAUGUGAAAGUCACAUUAGCAGUGAAGUAGUAAAAUUUUAGUGAACAACAGUAACUGGCUAGUAGCCCUCUUCCAACUGAUUAUAUGUUAUAUUUUAGUUUUCUAAGGGUCUAACUCAAGUCCUGCUUAACUCUCAUCCUCAGUUUUCGAGAGUGAGAGAAGAUGUCCUGAAUAUACUACCCCAAGUUCAUCUCAGCUCUAGGAAAUGAUUUACGUCUGCCCAGCUUUAUUUUGUAUUCCCAGGUGGUAAAAAGCUCAUUUUCCUCCCAAUACUUACAAAGUAAUUUUCCAAGCUUGAAAAUACUGGGAUGUAAGGAUCUCUAAUAAUUUUCUACUUGGUCAGUCCUAGUGUCAUAUCAAUGAUCUAUCCAUUACCCUAGGAAAUUACUCCCAUGGCUGGAGAUUUCCCCCACCAGAAUUCAGGUUGUAUACUUUCCAGGUGCAAUUUAUUUUAAAACCAGAAUGGCUCCCCAGGGUGGGAGAUGUGUGUGUACCACCCCAACAGACAGGGAGGAAGUUUUGAACGUCAAUUGUUAGACAUGCAAUAUAAAUGGGAGAGAAGUAAACUGACUUGCAGAAAGUUCCCUGUGUGUUCCACAUUCACCGUGGACUGGGCUGGAGGAGUACUUUGAGGUCAUUUCGUCCAGACCUCUCAUUUUACAGAUGAGGAAGACAGGAGUAAUUGAUAGGUAGGACCACUAAAUUACAGCUCUCCUCGGGCUAGAUGACAGAGUCAGUAGGCUUCUUAAUGCUCUUCGUGGCCGUGUGGAUUCUGUGAGCUGAGGGGUGUGCUCUCACCCUGAGCGCUGACAUUCUAUGGCUUCCAAUGUUUAUGUCUCUAAUAUGGUGCUGGUUAUCCCAUGCUCCCAUAAGUCCUCACCACCGAGGCUCGCCAGUCCUCAGCUCAGGACGCACACUCCUUCUGCAGGCAGCGGGGCACCCAGCCAUCUCGGGGUGCUGUAAGCGUGCAGAGCCCGGUUGGUGCACCCCCACAGAGCCCUUCUGUGGGCUGAAUCCUCUCCUCUUCUCUAGUUGCCAGCUACCUGGGUCUCAGGUGGGAUCCUCUUACGGUAAAGUACCAGACUCAGGCCCUUUACUGGGAUGACACAGUCUCCAAUGUCAGCCUCUACCCCUCUGCCUGAGAACUGUAACUUUGCUUAUCUUACUCCCUUUCCCCACACCUGGAACCUACAUCUCAUGAGCUCAAGCGCUUGGUCUGCCCUGCUACAUCUACCGGAUCUAGAACAGCCGGGCGUGGGAAGUGAUGAAUAAAUCCACAUCGAUGCAUGUGACCUCUGUCCUUUCCCUGUCUUAGUGAAACAGGUCAUCUCCUUUCGGAAACUUACCUCUCUGACAACAUUGACACAUCCUGGUCGUCCCUCAACUCUGUGACCUAUCGGUCACACCCUCGUUCUUGAAAUCUUGGCAUUUUAGCUGUCCACUCAGACAGAUUUAUUUAGCUAGUCAACCUCUGGCUGGUCUGCCUCCAGGGCUUUGCUGGAAAAUCUUCUCUGCCUGUCUUCAGACUAAGCUGUCUCCAAGGUUUCCCCUCCACUUCUGUCUUCUCCGGGUGUUUUUCUUUUUCGGAGAUAACCUUGGUCAAACUUUACUUCUCUGUUAAGCAAUUCUGAAGUUUCCUGUGUGCGCCCUAGAAAUAGCAAAGCAACCUCAAAGCAACCUCAAAGCAACCUCACCUUUCAGAGCGGAUCCCACAAGCUGCCCGCUGUGUUCCCUCACGAUCCCCACUUCAACCACAGAGCAAAGCUCCUCUUCAGCUCCUGGUCACCCACCACCUCCCCACAUCUGAAAGAUGCAUGAAUUUUACCUGGGGACGACCAACAUGACAAUCUACCUAGCUCACGUACUGCUCAGCCAAAUUCACCAGCCCCUAAUACACACUCUCACUGUGGCUACUCUCCUCCCUUUCCAUCUGACUUCCUAGAGGGGCCUGCAUCCUUUCUGUUCAGUGAGAAACUACGGUUCUCAGUUUGACCUCUUCUGCCUUAUGAACCUCAUUAAUAGUGCAGCUCCCAAUCUGGUCUGAUUGUAAAUUUUCUUGAGGUUCCCAUGAUUCUCAACCAUGGACACACAUUAGAAGCAAGUGAGGAGCUUUUAAAAAUUAGCAAGACUCAGACUCCCACUCUUAUGCUGUCUUCUGAGAACUUCCGGUUUGAAGGGCCUACACCAGAGCCAAGACAAUAGUGCAUUUUGAAUCUCCCCCCUUCUCGGAUACCUCCAAAACCCCAAGGCACUUAUGAUUGGAGAAUCCUGUAACCAGAUCAGGGCAGCAUCUUCCAAACAUGCUUUGCCCGCCCAUGCUAUUUGCCUGGGAAAUUUCCCUUGUCAGCAAUAAUUUUCCUUUCAUUUCUUCUUCCUAAGGAAAGGCAUAAAGGUUUCUUGGAUUCUUCGAGUUUGUAGAAAUGGGUUCUUCUUCUGGCAAACCUCAGAACAUUUUCAUACACCACAUUCAUUUGUGUGCACUAGGAAACUGUUACAAGUGGACAGUGCAGAGAAAAACCAAGCCAGGGUGUCUAAGCCCAAGGGGAUAGUCUUAUAUAGAGAGAGAAACACAUGAUCCUGUGAGUAUCAAGCUUUGCAGCAGGAGUAGAGAUGUAUCCAUGGGUCCAUGGGAUAUUGUUUAGGUAUAAAGGAGUCUAUCUUGCUGGGCAUAAAAUAUUAUGUCAUCUCCACCCUCACAUGGUGUACUGAGCAGGAACCAGGAUUCACUCACUUUUAUACAUUUCAAAGAAUACAGUGUCAAACGUUUGCUGGAUGAAUGAAUGGAUGGGUCAGUGAAUCUGUGGGUGGUUGUAAACUGAGAAUCAUGACAACUUAAGGAAACAGCACCAUAGCUUAGAGCUGGAGCUGGGAGAGAGCGGAUCGCCCUGGAGUUCAGUCUCAUAUCAUAAUUUUCAGUCCCAAGCAGUGCAUGAGCUAUACAAUUUCCCGUAAACCACCUACUUUUUUUUAAUUGUAAAGAGAAUAAAACCAAGCAAAAUAAAACAGAAUAAAGCAAAUCAAAACAACAACAGUAUAAGUGAUACAAGGUUUCAAAGUAAGUUAAUAGGAAAUCAUCAAUAGCUACCAUAUAAUGCCUCUUGUCUUCAGAAUAGCUGCCCAUCAGACAUAGGAAAAUCAAACAGAACAGAACAAACAGAACCAAAAAGACAAAACAAUGAACACAAUACAGGAUUUUGAAAUAAUAUUAUAGUAAAUCCAAAAUGACUACCAUAAUAUCUCGUUAUCUUUGAAAUGGCUACCAUGACUUCUGAUAUAAUAAAAUCAAACAAGACAAAACAAUAAAACCAAACCAUGAAAAUGAUACAGGACUUUAAAACAAGACAAUGGGGAAUUAACAGUGGCUAUCACCCUCAGGAGGAGAUCCCCACAAAUGUUACAGUGGACGUUGUUGUUGUCAAAUAGAUGAUGAGACAAACCAAGCUUUAGGCCUACAAAUCAGUGAAAAACUAAACAGUGCAAGGGUGGAGUUGUAUUUUACUUCAAUAGCUAUCAUCUCAGCCUGUGUUUCUCCAGAUCAGCCAGUCACUCAGGGGAAGGAGGACCCUGGCUCUUCCUGUCUCCCACCGGGUAGGGGCCGGUGUCUGGUUUUCCUCCCUGUGGCCUGCACAUGGCACCGACUCACAGGACGAGGUGGGCUUUUUGUUCUCCCUGCAGCCCGUGAGUGGUGCAGACCAGACCACCCAUGUUGUAGUUUACUUAAAACGGUAGUGGGGUUCGCAUCCUAGAAACUCAGCCCUGUAUCUCAUAACUGAGAAGGUAGAAAUGGUCUAUUCCAGGUAACCCUCAGCCUCUUCAGUUAUAGUAAGCAAACUAAAGGAGCUAGAGAGGAAACAUGCUGUACGAUGGCAGGAAGAACUGAAGGGGCUUAGGGGGAACCCCUGCCCACCCGACAGACCUGAGAGCAUCGCCUCCCCCGCACUUGACCUUCUCACGGGUCUCUAGGUACUGUUGGGCUUCCUAAAGAUGUUACUGAUUAGGCUGUGCAUUUGAAAAAUGCACCAAGUAAGUGCAGGCGGAGGUGUGGAAGUAAUUUCCAGGCUAACCUUGUGUGUGUGGCUUGGUGUGGGGCCGUGUGAACUAAACAAAGGAUGAGCCACUGUGUGUAUCACUGUAACUGUGCUUCUCCACUGGGAAUUCUUCAUCCUUUGGGUAGCCAGAGAUGGAUUAAAUGUGCCCUGCAGAGCAAACCACCUCUCACAGAGAGAAGCCACCUCUGCUGUCCAGGACACCAGUGAGUCACAACACAAGGGUCAGCUCAGCAUCCAAGGGUGUCUGAGUCAGAAGAGAUGAAACGAGGUGCUUCUGCACUCUGAGGGUUUCAGCACUGUGCAAACUCACCUCCCCUGGAGACUGAACAAUGUGCAAAUGCAAAUGGGCUCACAAAAGCAAUUUACCAAAGGCUACAUAUAGCGAAAAAGGCAUGGGCACCACACACGUGUCGUGGGCCAUGUUCUUGACUUUCAUUCAUUAUUAAUGGAGGGACAGGGACUCUGUUCAUGGAUUUCCACACCAACCUAUUAAUGAAUUAAGAAAACAUUUUUUAGAGCACCCACCAUUGCCAGGGAAUUGUGUGAAAGAUGGCAUAGUGGGCGUAGCAGUGGACAGGCCCCGUGGCUGCCCUUUGAGGACUUGCUGUUCAGGGUGGACAAACACAUAGAGCCUGGAGCACUGUGUCACCAUGGGAAGACAGGGACAUCUCACUUUCUGGGGUAAAGAGGAAGAGAGGCCUUCAACGACUCUGGAGGGUCAACUGGGCAGGUGCCUGCUGAUUGGAGGACCGGUUUCCCAGGCAGGGCAGGCAGAGGAGAGGCGGCAGGUGGAAAGGAGCCAGGCAGCCUGGGAGUGUGGGGAGGUAAAAGCAGCUUUCCUAACUGGACCAUGGACAGGGUGGGGAGGAGGGGACAUCCAGCGAUGUGGCCAGUGUGGUAACCGGGGCCUACACCAGGACAGCAGUUGGGGAUUCAGCUUGUCAUACAAGGAGUGAGGCCCUUUGGAAUGGAUGCAGGGAUGGACCUGAGUUAGGCGCUUUGACCUCUGCAGACUGGGCAACAGGAGCCAGUUCUCAGUUGUGGAAGUUUGUGUUUUCGUAUCAGAGAGCUUAGUCUUACACCCAGGAGGGCUGAGUGGGAAGGGCCAGGAAGAGGCCUGGGGGCAGCUAGCGAGAUGCUGGGAUGGGGUGGAGGAGAAGACCCUCACAUCUGUGCCCAGGAUCCUGGAAAAGGCAGUGACGUGGGUGGAAGCAGAAGUGACACGGGAGUUAGAACCAAAGACUGUGGCCGCAGACCUUGCAGGAAGCGGGGUAGAGAGGCCGACCGAGGGCCACUGCGGGGCUGCUCACAGGAGUGCAGGCCACAGAAGCAGGGGCAGGUGGGGGGGGUCACUGCCAGCUCAUGCUGACUUCGCGGGACUGAGGCCAGCUGCGCAGGCCGCAGGGCACGGGGACACCACGCACUCACCUCUGCUUGGCCCCUCACCCCCUCAGUGCACCAUUCUCUGUGAGGUCCAGGGCUUCUUUCCUUUGCUUCUGGGCUAUCACCUUCGCACCAUUUGAAGGCGGCAGAGCCCUGCCAGCCCCGGGCCCAGCGCUUAUAAAGUGAAAACAGGUGUUCACGCUCCAGGACACAGGCUCGGGAUUGGCUUCCAGCCAGCCAGACCACGGUUUCUGCCACUCCGGCAGACUCCAGCCCACCGUGGCUUCCGUUAAAUAAUUCCUUUAUUUUGACCAGUGUCUCCCCAGAGUUACUCUGAAGUGUGAAGUUAGACGUAUGCCAGGUGGGAUCCACAAACACAGUGCAUGUUUCAUUUUUAAGCCUCUAUUGCAGCAAGAGACACAUGGCCACACAUCCUCCCUGAGAAGCCUCCCCCUCACCCUGAACACGGAUAUCCGGGCUUUCUAAUGCAGCUCUGGAAGUCUUUCCCCCAUGGCCCUCUUUAGUUGUAUCACUCUCAAAGUUCUGACUCAGCUCAAGGCCUUUCUUUUGCCUGAUCAUUUUGACUUUGGGGAAAAAAUGUUAUGUUGUACAGGGCCAGGUCUGGUCCAUAAGGAAGGAAGGACACAGCGCCAUGUAUUCAUGGACCUGCCUUUGCCUUGAGGGCGCUUGGAGCAUCAGUAGCUAUUUUUGCUAGACUGCGCAAAGAUAGUCCAAAACUCACUGGAAAUCACACCUGCGUGGUGCAAGCCGGCUCAGAGAGGCAGAGAUGCAAAGUUCAAGUUAAACAGAAGUCUUUUGUUACAGGACAGAGAAACACAUAUUGUCGGGCAGGCUAGGAAAUUAAUUCAUUUGAUUCAGGGAGUGUGCAUGUGUGUGUGUGUGUGAGAUGGUCGUCUUAUUUUGGAUGAGAGCCCCUGUAACCUUCCUGACACCAAGAUGUUGCAAGGCUGCUGAUGCAUGGUGGUAUCUGUCUGUAGUCAUCGUGGAAGGGACCCAUGACUUAGUGCUCUUCUGGCCAAUGUCAGCUCCAGGGGUGGUGGUCAGGACCUUGGUUUCCAGCUAUGUCUCCCAGAAAGAAAGUUUCCAGAUAAAAGCUGAACCUUGGAAAAGAAUUGCUGACUGCAGGUCCAUUUCGCAAUACUGUAUGGUGACUUAUAAACAAUGUUUUUUUCCCCAGUGAAGUCAGUUGAGACCAUGAACUUUCUCCCAUAGGCAAAGCCAUCUUUUCAGGAAGCUGCCUGGGGCCUCCUUCUCUGGGGGUAGGAAGGGAAAUCAGCUUAAACCUACUCCUGCCUUGCCUGGGUCGUGCUGAGGGCCUGUGGCUGCUGGAGAGUAAGGGCUACUCAAAGUGUGAGCUUUGGUGGUCUGGCCUGUGUGUCUAUGGGGGACUUGUUAGAGGUGCAGAUUCUUAGACUUCACAACCAACUCUCCAAACAUGAGCCUGCAUAUGUAAAUGACCCCUGGCGAACGUGGAUGGAUAUUGCAGUGUUCUAAGCAUUGGUCUAAACUGUGGAUUUGCAAUCUACAACCACCCUCUCCCCCAGACAGAGGAAAACACUGAAGCACACACACAUGUAUGCAUACAUUUUUGUCUUGUAUUAAUGGAUUGUGCACAUUUUAAUGUAGAGUAUACACAUUUAAGAGGACCAAGUAGGAGCUAGAUUUGAAUACUCUGAUUAUUUUGUUAUUGAGCCUAUGUGGAUUCCUGCUGUACACAGGACUGAAGAAGGUUCAGUCCCUGGUGGGCUGGCUCCAAGGCAGUCAUGGCAUGGAGGAAGGUCCCAGUGGGGGAGAUGUGUAGCAGCCAGGAAGCGGGGGACAAGAAUUACACUUCGGGGUCAUGCGCCCAGGGACCCACUUUUGCCUGCGCCUCACCUUCUAGCAGCCCCCUGGGCCAUGAACUCAUCAGUGUUUUAACCCUGAGAAGCACAGCACCCCAUGCUCCAGUCCAGUCCCCAUGCUUCCUAAGCCCUACCUCUGAACAUGGGGGACUUUUGGGGUGUGUUUAGAAUGGAAUCAUUAUGCUCAGUAUUCUUAAAACCAAACAAUAUGAAACACACCUGAAAGUUAAUUCACUGGACUAAAUUCACUGUGUGUAGACUCAUGGAUUUUGUUUUGGGCCAUUUGAGAAACACAGAUCUAUUUUUUUCUUCAAUAUACAGCAGAAUAAUCUGUAAGCUAUGAAUCAAAUUCAGAAGUCCAAAUCUUCAUUUCUGCUGUGGCCAUUCGUGGUGAGUGUGCCCAGCUGUGCCCAGCAGUGGAGCGGUUUUCUCUCUGACCCAGAACACUGCAUAUAUUAUCUUUAAUGAGCUAUGGUCACUAAAUUCAGCUCCCUUUGGCACCAUUCUUUUCCUCCCUCAAGCAUAGUUGUCAUUCUAUGUCAAGUCUUGGUCGAGCAUUAGGGGUUAAAAGAGAAAUUAAACAUGCACCCCUUCCAAACUGGUCUUUUAGUAGGAAAGGGGAGUUCUAAAACAGUACAGCAGUACACUGUACGCUGUCAUAAGGUAUAGAAAACAUGUAAAAGGCAGAGAGAGGAUCAAGAUGAACUCUUUAACAGGAAGCAGAGGUGACAUUUCAGUUGGGCCUUGAGGGAUGAGUAAGAGUUUGCUAGAAGGCGCAGGGCAAAAAGGGACAGGGAAUGAAGUGAGCUGCCCACUGCGGUGGUGGGCAAGAAUCUUCCUUACAGCAGUCGAAGUGCAAACUCUCCAGCCAACUGAGGGAAGCCUCUCGUUAUCAUGGAGUAAUAGCCCUGACCAGUUACCGAAAGCGAGUUCUCAGAUUUGCAUAAUGAGAACGUCUCUGAGAGUGAACGCCUUCCUGGAUUUGGCCACAGUGGUGUGUGGAAAGUUUCUCAGCAGAGCAGUGGAAGGCUUCUCAUUUACAGUCAACCGUGGAAUGCUGGGGAACGCUCUCUGCUGGGAAAUUGAAUUUUCAGAUUAACUGCAUAAAAAUGGAAAGUCUAGUUGAAAACGCUCUCUAAUUUUGUUUUCUUUUGAAGAGAUAACUGCUGCUGGCAUUUUAGGGGCUUUCAUUUUAAUCUUACCUGGAAAGAAAAACAGAGAAGGAUUACACUGUCUAUUCAGCACUGCAGUUGCCUUGAAAAAGGUAUCUUUUGCUUUAAUUUUUAAAGACUCCAUACUAGUGCAGCUUAUAAAUAUUUUAUAAAUUUUAUUGGUGAUCUGAGUUGCUUUGAAUGUUUUAAUACUACAAAACAGAGCACACCCUUGUAUGUAAUUCUGUUGCACAUUUCUUAUUAGUUCCUAGACUUACUGGGUCUAAGGCUAUGCAUAAAUAGUUUAAAACUUUGAGUGCACAUUGUCAAAUUGCUCUCCCCAACAAAGCCGUGCCAAAUUACUCUACCAGAUGCCACGCAUGGUGCUAUUCAUGUCUGCAGACUCGUCCACAGGGAGCCUUGGGAGGUGGAAAGCAGGUCACGGCUGCUUUUGUGUUCCUCAAACCCCAAGCUUUUCCUUGGUCUCACCUGUCAGAGACCUGUGCUUUCUGAUGCCAAGACCGCCCAGGGCUGAGGCUGGGGAAACGGAGCCACUGCCAUGAUUACGUUUGCAGACGUAAGUGCUGAAGGUGCCCUCCUCAAGCCAUUGGCUCUACAGGACAUUGGUUCGAUUAGCACAAAUUGCAGGUCUCAUGUCUGUUCAGGGAUCUCCCUGGCAGUCCAGAGUGCACACCCACAAACCCGGACCAGGGAUCUCCCCCUCUACCUCCCUGCAGGAUCCUGUUUCUGUAUCAGGAUUCUGUAUAAAAUCAAGCUUUACUUGGCCAUAAUACGAGAACCUUCUAAGAACCCAUUUGUCCAAAGACACAUACAUGAUUUAAGAGAUCCAGCAUCCUCUGGCCAGUGAGUUACCGCCUCCAAACCGAUCCCACCUCCUUCCCAUGCCAGCAAACCAGGAGCUGUCUUUCAGACCUGUCUCUCUUCUCUUGUCCCCCAAAGCUGCUUGUUAGAGGGGCCCACCCGGGGACUCUACCCAGAAGGCACCACUCAGGGCUCCUGGCUGCCCUCAGGCUCCGACCCGAACAUCAGUAAUUUCAGCGAGGAUUACUGAAAGCACCAAUUAAACUCCCAACGUCUCUGAGCACCACCUCCAGUCUAUUCCACAUGUUGUCAAAAAUGAUCACUUUCCGAAGCAAGUCCAAUCCUGUCUUUUCCUUGAAUAAAACCCUGAGACUCUCUUCAUUCUGCUAGGAUGAAGUCCAGGUUCCCAGGCUCCAUCCUCUGCAUCUCCUUCACCAGCUCCCUCUCCACAAUGCCUGGAAGGUGCCAUGCUCUAUGCCAUUUAGGAUUUUGCGAGUGUGUGUGUCCCUGACACCUCCUGUCACCUGGCUUAUCAUAGGCCCACAUCUUGGAUUCUUCCCUGGAUUUUUUCGUUCUUCCCUUAGAAUCACUUGGCUAAAGAUUUACAGCAUUGAAAGCUGUCUGAGAACUGGAAGCAAGCAGAUCCUGCUGGCUGAAAAAUCCCAGCCCCUUGCACAGCACACUGUAGGUGCUCAAUAAAUUCUUAGCUCCCAGAUAAAGCUGGCAAUAUCAUCUCACCUCCCUAAAUUUUGUGAAUAACAGAUUGAGAAACAUUGUCCAUUUAGUGGGUGAAGGAUCUUGUAGCUGUCUGUGAAUUUGAAGCAAUCUGAAUAUAACCCUCUGCUGUUCCCCUGGGGUAGAUGUGAUUUCUCUUGGGGAAAGUCAUCAACUGUAAGCAUAUCAUGGCAAUAGGCUGGCCCAGAAGAGGCCGAUAUGUACCGGGCUCUGUCAGAAAGGAACAAAGCUAAACAGGGAGCAGGAGCCAGGACUUCCAAGAGCUGCUGUGCUUCUCCAAGGCGCUCAGGAUUUGUCUUGUCAGCGGGGAAGCCGCUGGAGGAUUUAUGAAGGGGAGGACUGUCUGAAUCAGGACUCCACCAAUGAGUAAGCGCUCUUUUUUCCAGUAAGAGUUGUGAUGAAACCAGGGGCUUAUAAAGUAGCGUUUGCCUGUGUAGUGGAUCCAGCUCCGAAAUGCUCAGAAAGGCCACAUUAAGGCUAUGAGGACCACGAGAGAUGUGUGUUUCUGUUCUUUCCUCCCAUGUGCCUGGGUAAGAGCAAGGGUCCCAUCGCCUCUUGAGCAUGGAGUGGAAAGCCCCCCUACAGUGAUGUUCCCAUUACAUGAGAGCCAGUGCCAUGUUCACCAUCCAGCUUAGUGCAUGUGAUGAUGUCCUGCUGGAAGGGGCCUCACCAUGAUUCCAACUGUUACCUGUGCACAUUGUUUUUAUAAAAGAAACAGAAUCUCUGAUGUCUAACUGUGUCUUUGAGGAAAACCACCUGGAAGGCUUCAAUGGAUUGAUCUGAUUUCUCUGGCGUGAUUAGCAUGACUACAUCAGAAUCCACAACUGAGGAUAAACCUGGGUCCCGGGUUCCUGAAGAGAUUCUGCCUGGAACUCAGAAGGACCCCUGAUGUUGGUGGAAGGGCAAUUAAAAUGUACGUUGUCUUGCCCUGAAUGUGUGCGAUAAACCAUGGCUAUGUAGGUCACUACUGUGACUUUGCCAUAGGACAAACACAGAUGUUCCAACAUCAAAUUGUCCUCUUUUCAGAGAUGUUGGAGGGACAUUUCUGCUCACCAUGCUUCAAAAUGACAGUAUUUAUGCAAUAAUGAGAGAAGAAAUAUUUUUUCAAUAUUACAAAGAAUGCCUUUUAAUAUUACUGAUGCAUUCUUAAUGUUAAGUAGUUUAUUUUUGUCUAUUUAAACAUUGGUCCAAGAAGUUAGUCAUAUGUCUUACUAUUCCACCGAAAGGGACAAUAGCAAAAAAAAUGGCUAAGCGCCCCUGAACUAAAAUGUUCAAAUGUGAUCGACAUGCUGGCUUUCCUGGCUUCACUGUUAAUCCACACAGGGAUGAGGCUGACCUUCCUCUCACGCCAUUCUGUGUUUGUUUCCCCUAGUAAUGGGGAAAUCUGGACUGUCAUUCUGUUUUCUUUAUUUAAGGAGAAAAAGAAAAAAAAUAGAAAAAUUGUACAAGUUACACAGAAUUUCAGAAAAAAUAAACUGUAGGAAAUCACUAGUUAAUAGAUUACAUAUUCUCUUAGAAAUAGUUGUUCAAGUUACAAAAUUAAAGCAUAUAAAGUGGACUUUCAAACAGUGAGACUGCAAACAGUUCUGUUCAAUGAUCCAACAAAACUCAGUAAUAUGGUUAUCUAUCUUAUACACUUAAAUAUAUAUGCAGUUAUAUUCUUUAGAGCACUUUCUUUUCCUUUCUUUUGUACAAUGACAAUUACACAUGUUGGGUUUUAUUACUCCCGCAGUUCUUAUUACUUGUUUUUUGAAGAGAGUAAAACCAAAUGUGACAUAACAGAACAGAGUCAGUCAAAGCAAAAGGAUGGACAUAAUAGAUAAUGUAAAAACAAAAUACUAGGUGAACAACAAUGGUUACCAUACUGCCUCUUGCUAUCUUAAAAAGAAUUGCCUAUAUCAUCAGUUACAAUAAAACUGAACAAAACAGUAAAGAAUAAAACCAAAACAUUGGAGACAUUACAGGUCUUUAAAAGAAGAUAAUAGUGGAAUGGGUGUCAUAAUGAAUCUUAUUGUCUUCACAGUUUUGCCUAUACAUUCAAACUUGGUACUAUCAAGCAAAGUAGAAUAGGGGAAAAUCAGUCAAAGCAAGAUGGUGAGGGCUAUACAGGGUUUCAAAUCAAGUUAAUAGGAAAUCAAAGUAGGUUACUAUAAUGCAUCCUAUUUUUUUUAUUUUUUCCUUAAUUAAAAAGAUAAAAAUAAAAAAGUAAAUAAUUUUUUAAAAAGGAGAUUUAAGUAAAAGAGGGCAUAACGACAAAACAGCGCAGGUCAAAGCAUAACCAUUUAAGCAAAAUAGUGUUUCACCACAAGAUAUCCUGACAUAAAAGUAGUUACCAUAGUGUCUCUUUCCUUGAAAUCUUUGAGUAUAACUUAUACUGUAGCAUCAAACAUAUCAAGACAAUGUAAAACCAUUCAAGAGAAUGACAGUAUUACAGGGUAUUUAGAACCAACUAUCAAAAAAUGAACAAUGGUUUCUGUAUAAUCUCCUUGUCUAUAAAGUUUUUGCUUAUAUUAUCACAUAUAAUAAAAUCUAUUAAGAUACAACCUGUUAAGACCAAUGGAGACAGAAGAAUAAAAGCUUGAUGAGACUUCAAAGCAAGAUGAUACUAAAUCAGCACUAGCUAUUAUGAUGUCUUGUUUUCUCCAAAAUGUUCCUACCAUCCAAUCUUCUCUGCCUCAUUUCUGUUGAGCUCUUUUUCUGUCGUUUGUUGUCAGUUUGUCUUCUUCAUUUAGCUUUCUGCUCCAUUCAUUGUGGCCUCUCUGCCACUGUUUCUGAAGUCUUGGUAUUUUCCUUUUUUAGAAUAUCCUGCAGUAUUCUCUGUAGAGUUGAAUUGGUGGUUGCAAAUUCCCCUAGUUCCUCUUUAUCCUGGAAGCGCCUUGUGUUUCCAUCAAUUUCUAGGGACAGUUGUGCAGGAUAUAUCAAUCUUGGCUGGAGGUUGUUAUCUUUCAAAGCUUGAAUUAUUUCCCCCCACGCUCUUCGUGAUUUGAUGGUUUGUGCCGAGAAGUCUGCUGUAAUUCUGAUUGGGUAUUCCCUUGUAAGUGAUCUGUUUAUUGUCUCUGAUAGCUUUUAGUAUUCUGUUCUUAUAUUGGAUUUCUGGAAAUUUGAUUAUUAUAUGCCCGGGUAUAGCUCUGUUUGGGGUGUAGGUGGCUGGGGUCCUGUAUGCCUCAUAAAUCUGAGUAUCUUUACCUUUUGCUAAAUUAGGGAAAUUCUCUUGGAUUAUUUCUGUGAAUAGGUUUUGUAAUCCAUUUGUGUCCAUACCUCUUCUUUUAUGUUCUUAAUUCUUAAGUUAUAGAUCCUCUUAUCAUCUUCUAGCCUUUGUAUUAUUGCUGUUUGUUUUCUUGUUAUUUUUAAGAAGUUUUUCAUUUCAUGCUCCCAAAUUACAAAUCUGCCCUCCAGUUCAGAUAAUCUAUCCUUAGUUUCUUUCAAGCUGUUAUGCCAGCUUUCGAUAGAGUUUUUAGUUUCCUGGUAAUCUCUUUGAACCUGCUUCAUGUAUUCUAUGUUUUCUCUAUUUUCUCAAUCAAACAAUUCUCCCCCUUUUUUCUGUUCUUCCAUUCCACCAUUUAUUUUUUCUUGGGUGGUGUUUAGCAUUUCUCUAACUAUUCUACUUAUAUCUUGCUUUAUUUCGUUAAAUACUUCAUUUUUAAACUCGUCUAUGAGGCUCUGGAGAUAUCGCUUUAUGUCUAUUGGUGCUGUGUCUGAUAUUGCAUGUUUUCUGUCUUCCUUUGCGUUUCCCUUUCCUGGAUCAGUGUUCUCAGGAUUGGAGACUGAGGACCCUUUCUUGUUGCUUCCUCUUCCCAUACUUUUUGUUCCUUCCAUACAAGUGAAUGUAGGAGGCCCAAUUUUUUCUUUUUUUUUUGGUUACGGUUUGUUUGAAUUGUGCUGGCUAGGUGUUCCCGCCCACUGCAGUGUACUAGGGAGACACAGACCUGGGCAGCCUCUGCUGGGCCCGCCCCUCCAGGUCAACCUACCGAAGGCUUCACUGCUAGGGUGCACCUCCAGGUGCUGGGACCUGAUUUGGGCUAGCCUACUGGGUCUUACUUGGCGGCGUCACACAGGCCAGGCACUCCACACCAAUCCCGCUUGAGAGGGGAAUAUGCAACUAAUGUCACUGCAGCAUCCUGUUCCAGCAAGUCUGCCUGGUCCCAGUAUGUCCUUUGCUGGAGCCUCCUACUCUAUGAAAGGGUCCCCUUCUGCUCACUCACCGCAAGUCGAUGUAGGGCUCCCUGCCAGUCCCGCUUUCAACUCCGUUCGCAGAUUCCAGCUCUCAAAGGUUUCACGAGUCUCUCUCCCUGCCCAGCAGAUUUGGACGCAGCAGCGGCAGCAGGAAAUUCAAAUCACGGCUUCCAGUUGUGCAGGUUCUAGCUUCCACGCUGAGAUUUCAUCUGUUCCUGUUAUAGCACCAGGAUUGGAUUUCCAGUUGGUUUCUCUUAGCUUAGUUCAUUCCUGGGUUGGCAGGGUAUAUCUCCCCUUGCUUAGGACUCCUUGUACUGCACCAUUCCUGGAUUUUAAGUAGGGUAUCUCAGAGAGCCUCCGUAGCUGUUGCUAUCUAUCUACCAUGUUCUUCCGGAAGUCCAGGAAUGUCAUUCUUUUAAGUACUAUUUUCUCUAUAUUAAAAUCCUGUCUUUACUUUUUUAUUGUUGGCCUUCUGAGUUACACUUGAGCAUAAAUUUAUUUUUCCUAGGGAUGCUAGAUUUAGUAAGAAAAAAUAUAGGAUCAUUGUGCUAUCUAUAUCUGUCUCUACUACAUAUAGUGCACACACACACACACACACACACACACACACACAUAUAUAUAUAUAUAUAUAUAAAGUCCAUCUCUGACUCUGUAUUUCAGAUAAUAAUUUUUAGUGUAAGCAUGUAUCAAAUAUUGCCUGUGGCAUACUUAUACUAAAAAUUACUUGCUGUCCCUCUAAGAUGCAAAUUCAAAGAACAUCUUGUAUCAGACCUGGCAAACUCUUAACAUCACCAAAACUGGCCAGUCACCCUCCGCUAAUUAAGAGCAGAUGGCAUGUGCUCUCUUACCUUGUUUACUGGUGGACAUUAAUGAGCUACCAAAAGUCUAAGACUUUGAUCAAAUGUGAAAGCAUUUUGGAAUUUGAAAAUAUCUUGCUGUCACUCGUAGAUCACAAGAGUCUGUUUUCAACAUUGAGAAAACACAUGCCUCGGAUACAUUACUAGUCCUUAAAGCAAGCUGAGCAUAAUACAAGAAUUUGGGGAUUUGCUGUGUUCCCCUGGGAUCCUGCGAGAUCCAGUUUCUGUAUCAAAGAAAUGUGGUCAAAGUUUAUACUGACAGUGAGACAGGAUUGUGAAACUUUUGACACUCAUCCCAUGGUUAAAUAACUUGGUUCCAAAUCAAACAAAAGUUGUAAUUUCCUUUGUCUGGGAUAAGAGUCCCAUUAGGAUAAUAAUGAGCAUGAAAAAUUAACACAAAGAGUCCUAUCUACAGGUGAAUGACCCUGACCCUUACCCUCAGUCUUCCCUAGACACAGACCAUUCCAAACGUAUUUUAGAUGAAAGGAAAAGUAACUAGCAUGAAUCCAGGGAAGUAAGCCAGCCUGAAAGCUGUGCCUAUGUAUUUAAAAGGAGCUUUCUGUCUUUCUAUACCUUCAUCCCCAUCAGAAACGUAAGCGAAAAAAGAAAUAUACACCUGAGGGUUGAAAGUUGCUAGGCUCAAGGUGUGCAUGAGAGAAAUUCAUGGAGGGGAAGACCAAGUUGAAGCCUUGCAAAUUAUAGAAUGCUACAUCACAAAAAGCCAAACCAACUCCCCAGAUCCAAGGAGGAGUUAAAGCAAACACCAUCCGUGCUUGCUGCCUGCCUGUUCUGUUCCUCUUUGCAUGCCACGACUAUGCCCAGUUACAUCAAAUCUUUCCGUGCCAGGGCUGUCUGCAGAAACAUGCCUUCCAGCUUGAUUUAUUCCAGGCUACAGUCAAACCAACCCGAGUACUCUACACUUCCUUUCCCUUGACCAAAUGGCACCCCGCUGAACCGUCUCCAUCACUGCGUUUGUAUUAACCUAGACAAGAAUAGUAAGUGAGAUUUACCAGCCAGGGGUAGAAAUCUAUUCCCUGAAGAGAACAUUUGGGGCAGUCCUCUUGGGAACAUAAUGCAAUACCAUCCCCCCUCCUUUUUCCCCCUGGACAUAAAUUUUCCUGUUUCACCAGUCAUCACACAACAAUGCAUGGCCAAGCCAUGCUGUGAUGAAAGGGGAGAAUAUGCUUAUUACCCAAGUUCUUCACAUGUUGGAGCAAGAGAGAUCCAGGGUGGUACACUGAAGGAAAUUUCCAUUUGCUCUGAGCUGCUGCACGUUUUUUGCUCUAUAGGAAAGUUAGCUAUUAUUAAGUAAUCAUGUUCAGCUGAGGUUGGUCACUUGUAACAACAGACAGAUGUAUAAUGUUUUAUUUGGGUUGGCCAACUCUCUCGCAAAUAAAGGACCUGAAAUUAAACUGUCUUUACAAAAAUAUUCUGCAAAUGAUACCUCUGACUUAUUCCAGUACUCAGUUUCUUUGCCAUGGAAAAUGGAAAGCGAGUCUCCCAUGGAACCCAGGAUCUGUGUAAACUUGUCUCUGCUGAGUGGGGGAAGGUUAGCGUUCUAUGGAACAGAAAAGAACAAAAAGAAAGAAAGAAACUGCAUAGAGGAAUCAAGGGGAGAACUAUGCAAACCACAUUUAGGGAUGGAAAAUGAUUUUUUUCAGUACUUAUGGAAUUUGAAACAAUAAUAAUGGAAUGGAAACAGAAAAACAAGGCUAAAUAUUUGACCACAGAGGCAAACUGGAUCAUUAGACGCUCACAUGCAAUGCAAGUGUGGGUUGUGUCUCGAAAGGAAUCCUCCUUGCUUUUCCAGUGUAUGAUAACUCUCCAGUCUAUGGAGCCCCUUUGCAAACUCUGGCCACAUAAUCUGGCAAUGGAGUUCUUUUUAAAGACACCAUUUCUUGGCAGGCUCCCCACCCCCACCCCACCCAAUUCUGGUUGAGUAGCAGGCACUCAUUCCUCAGUAGCUUUCCCAAGCCAACCUGAUGCUAAGGUUGAGUGGAGGGAGGGAGCUGUGCUCAUCAGUCUUCCCUGUCUUUGGCAUCCAGUGAGACUGACAGCUCAUCUCAAGAAGCUUGGUGAUAGUGACAGUGAAGAUAGACAUCUGCCUGUAUCAUGAAUCACAAAAGCUGUUUUGCAGCUGUAACCUGUAGUGGGUCAGUAACCUUGCACAAAUUGCUCAAGCCUUUGGAAUCUCUUUCUCCCCGCAUGUAGAGAAAAGGUUUGGACAAGAUUGGUUCUCCUAGUUUCCAAAUGGCUUCACAGGCACAGAUAGCCCUGUGUACUUAUGCAGAUUUCUCAGCAUUGAGUUUCCCAUAAUCUGUAGCACCCAAAUGCCCAGUGUAGGUCUACAGGGGUGAUAUAUUUGGGGGUUCAAAGGCAAGCUUUCCAGAAUUGUUUGAUCCUUUACCCCUUGAAUUGUGUUUCAUCCGUAUUACAUACCUCAGAGAGGACCCCAAGCUGGCUAGGUCCUCCAACGUUCUUGGCCAGUGUGAUAAUGAAAUCAUUCCAAUGUGACACCUCUCAUCCCAUCCAAGAAAGAAACCCACAGUGAUUUUCACCUGAUUGCUUCCUUACCCAUCAGAAACCUUCAACUGUUUGUUUUUUGUGUUUGUUUUUGAACAAGGCAGUAUUCCUGAACUCCUAUCCCUUAGGAAAUCAUCCUGGAUACCUGAAAAUCCCACUGAACAUCUCCCAGCCUUGUAGAUGUUUUCUCAUGGACUUCCUUCUUUUUCCUGGCCCUAGCUCCCUUCCCAUGCACUUGAUCAUUAUCUCUAUAUUCUCUGUAGCCCAGUAAAUGGGGAAUGGAGUACACCAUGGCUUUCAAAGUGUGGUCUCACAGUCAUAGCAUCAGUGCCUCCUAGGCAGUUAGCAGACUUGCAGACUGUCCAGGCCUCCAGGUAGUUCUGAUGGUCCCUGAAGUGUUGGAGUAUCGCGAGGAGCUACUGACUCAGACAGACCCGUCAAAGAACCCUUCUCUCUGAACGAUAAUCGAGUCUAUUUAGGAACUAUCUGAAUAUUCAAUUAAUAUAUAACUCCUUAUACAAGGCCUGGUACAGGGUAAACAGUGAGUCAAUUAUAGCUGGUUAUUCUACAGUUCAUGCAAACAUCUCAUGAGCAGAAAACUUACGAUGUUCCCAUCAUGUUGCAUGGUGGUGGUGUGCAGAUUGGAGCACUGGAGGCAGAUGGAUCUGGUUUGUUAAAUCUUCCACAUAUUAGCUUUAUGAGCAUGUGUGACUUAUUUAGUCAUUCUAAGCUUAGUUUCCUCCUUUGGAAAAAGAGAAAUUUCUUUCUUCCCAAAGUUAAGAGAAAGGCUCAACAAAAUAAUGUCUGUCACUGCUUUGAAAGGCACCCCAUCCCUUCAAGCCCCUUCUACCUACCCAGUGAGACCUAGCAAUGAUAGAAAGAAAUGAUCCUAGGCUGAAGAUCAUGAAGCCCUCAGCUCUGUGAACCGGGGACCCCUAAAUCCUCAAAAUAUUGGACUGACGGGUAGGAUGCAUUGACAGGGUUCUCUGAAAAGCUACCUUGGUAGAUUUAAAGGUUCACUUAGGGUAAUCUAAUGAGAAUCAGGCACCUUCUUAGGACCUUGUCUGGGAUCAGGAUUUUUUUGUCCUGUUGAAAUCUUGUUAGAUUUGGAUUCUUCCUCUACUGAGUAUCCUGACACAGGUCAACACUUGGAGUUUACUUUAGGAAUAUUUCAGGACUUUAUGCCUUUCCUUUCAUUCACCUGUGAGUUGAGGAACAUAAUUUAAGAUACAAAAACAUGGCAUAAGAACCCUCUCCAUGGCCAAGGUUUCGCCUCAGUGACAACUCCCAAAACAUUGUGACCCACAGUGAUAGGGACAUUCUCAGUUGUGUUAUAAGUUCUUUGAUUCAGCUGGAACUUGACUCUAAGUGUUCCCUCACCCCUCCUGACUGGACAGUGAACAGCCCCAUCUGACAUCUAUCUGGGAGUGAUGGCCAACCCAGAAGACAGUCCAGUGCCUCUGAUCAGGGAUAGUGUGUGUCACAGCCACUCACACGCCAUAAGCCAGAGCAAGUCACAUGGCUACUCCUGAAACAGAAAGUGGAAAGAGUCCACCACAGACAGAGCCAGGGAAAGAGCCUGUGUCUAGGGAUCCAGCAGAAGUACUCUGAACAGCCCGAGCUCACACAAUCAUCCCUACAACCCAAACUCUGCUUACUAGGCUUAGAGCUCACAUCUUCAAAAUGGACAUCUCCAAGCUGGAGGAAGCCAGCUUGUAAAUGUACACCUCACUGUGCACUUCCUUCCAGUCCCUAUGAGUCUUAUAGAGGAGAAAGGACAAUUCCUUAGCCUCCAAGAAGCCACCAUUUUCCCCUGCUGUCCUUUGUCCUCAGCGUAUGAGAGGAAAAGAAAGUGUGAGGAAGGUAAGUGAUACGUGGCCUGGAGAAAAGGACUAAAGGAGUACCAUUCAGAAUCUGCGAAGGGUCAGCUUUGGGCAUCUUGUGUCCAUUUCUGAGAUCACUUGUGCAGAGUCAUUUUUGUCUUCAACUGGCAUUGUCAAGGUCAAGAAUUGGAUUCAGAUCUGUCUCACAGACUCUGAAGGAAAUCACGGAUUGCUUGCCCAGCAAGCAAGAGCCUGGCCCAUGGCCAAAGCCAAAGGGUCCCUUGCAGUGAGGUCUUCGUGUGACCAGUCACAAGGUCAGAGGGGAAUGGCUAAGCAUCGCUGGUUUUAUUUUCAAUUAAAACUCUCUGAGCUCAGUGAACCCCAAGUAGAUUCUUGUCAAGCAUUUUCCCCACUUAAUAUUUAAACCUGUGUAUACUUAAAAUGAAAUUUAAUCCAGAAUAUUUGGAGUCCGUAGAGAAAGAGAGAGAGAGAGAGAGAGAGAAAGAGAGAGAGAGAGAGAGAGAGAGAGAGAGAGAGAGAGAGAUCAUCCAAAAAAACUGAUGUGUCAGAGAUAUGGGCUGUAUAAGAAAGCUUUUAAGGCAACUUUCUUUUACAAACAGGAGGUUGUGUUUUGUCCGGGCUUGGAAGUCAGAUCUUUCAUUUCUAAUUUUAGUCUGGAGAAGCGAAAUUAUGAUUUGAUUCAGGUUUCAUUCCUUCACAGUUCACCAGCCCCAUGAAAGUGUGGGCUGUGGGGUCAAUCGAGACUCGAUGGAGAAAAUCCCCCUUGGGAAUCGGUGCCUCUCCACUUUUUUCUACAGGUGAAAAGAAAACACGUUUCUGCUUUGUUCUAUCACAGUUUUUCCAGGAGGAACCCAUUGGAAACUCACACAAUUAACUCAGUGGAAGUCUGAGAUGUCGGAAGGUCUCCAUGUUGUACUAAGUAGGAAGGAGGAAAAGUCAUCUCUACACCAGGUCUUUGUUUUAAGAGAGCAUAAUGUGACAGGUGACAUUUUUGAGACUUAGUGAAAAAAAGGUCCUGUGCAAAUACAAGUUAACUAGCAAAAGUGAUGGGUAAAAAUCCAUCACAGGAAUUAAGAUUUUAGCUAAUCAUUAGUUAUAAUCAUUUGUAAUGUAUUAUAAUAUAUAUUUAACACAAUAUACACAUCAUCCUAUUUGUAAAUUUAGUAUAAAUUUGGUAAUAUAUAAUGUUCAUGUAAUAUUAUGUUAUAUUACAUAAUAUUUGAGUCAUAUUUAUAUAUGGACCUUACAGUUUUGUUCAGAUUCUCCAUAUGCUCCUGCUUUAAUA